CUUCAAACAGUUUUUAUUAGACGGAUGGCUGUGAAAAAUGAUGUCCUUAUGCACAAAGCCACCGCGUUUCACUGCGAUGUUCACCUGGACAUCCUCCGGACACAAAACCAGGCAACAAAAUCAGGAUGCAACAAGAUGGAGGGGCAAAGCACAGAAGAGGAGUGGGCCCUGCCGUAGGUGAGGGUUGGCAUCCUCUUACACCUGCCGCUUCAUGCUUGAGCUCAGGAUGGUGAUGAGUCCAAUCUUGUGCAUGUCUCAUACACAGAAGACCAGCAGCUGCAAGCUCAAGAACAAAACGGCCACAUCAUGCACAGAAGGCAGUGCCCCAUGAUAGAUGCUACAUUUCUUUCUCAGACACCCACUCUGAGAAAACACUUGACUUUCACUGGCCAUGAGAACCAUCUGGAUUCUGGUGAUAACUGGAUCCUCCUGUUCCCAAGGCUACCCAUCAAGUAGGUGUGUGGUGAGACCCAGGAUUCUGUACUGAUAACAGGGGGCUGGGACUCUGCUGUGCAAUCCACUGACGUAGGAUCCGUAAACAUCUUCCACUUAGAUAGGUCUUCUCGGUCUUCUCCACUGUCUGUGUGCCAGAUGCUGGGGCUGCUCAGUCCUGCAAAGCUCUGUCGCCAGCCUUCUAGUAGAAGAAAUGUGCAAGCUGGAAGUGUCUCUUAGUCUCUUCACUGAUAGCCAAUGGAAUGUCCAUUUGAGCCAAUUUGGGGGAGAGUUUAUUAGCAGAAAUGAGGUAAACACUAAACAGCAAAAUGGAUCACCU
rnacentral:lncRNA from 1 species